AGAGUUUGAUCCUGGCUCAGGAUGAACGCUGGCGGCGUGCCUAACACAUGCAAGUCGAGCGAACUCUUCGGAGUGAGCGGCGGACGGGUGAGUAACGCGUGGGUAACCUGCCCUGUACACAUGGAUAACAUACCGAAAGGUAUGCUAAUACAAGAUAAAAUAUAUUUAUCGCAUGAUAGAUAUAUCAAAGCGUUAGCGGUACAGGAUGGACCCGCGUCUGAUUAGCUAGUUGGUAAGGUAACGGCUUACCAAGGCGACGAUCAGUAGCCGACCUGAGAGGGUGAUCGGCCACAUUGGAACUGAGACACGGUCCAAACUCCUACGGGAGGCAGCAGUGGGGAAUAUUGCACAAUGGGCGAAAGCCUGAUGCAGCAACGCCGCGUGAGCGAUGAAGGCCUUCGGGUCGUAAAGCUCUGUCCUCAAGGAAGAUAAUGACGGUACUUGAGGAGGAAGCCCCGG
rnacentral:rRNA from 1 species